rnacentral:rRNA from 1 species
UACGAAGGGGGCUAGCGUUGCUCGGAAUUACUGGGCGUAAAGCGCACGUAGGCGGUUUCUUAAGUCGGUGGUGAAAUCCUGGAGCUCAACUCCAGAACUGCCUUCGAUACUGGGAAACUUGAGUCCGGGAGAGGUGAGUGGAACUGCGAGUGUAGAGGUGAAAUUCGUAGAUAUUCGCAAGAACACCAGUGGCGAAGGCGGCUCACUGGCCCGGUACUGACGCUGAGGUGCGAAAGCGUGAGGAGCAAACAGG